GAUGAAGAACGCAGCGAAAUGCGAUAAGUAGUGUGAAUUGCAGAAUUCCGUGAAUCAUCGAAUCUUUGAACGCACAUUGCGCCUUCUGGUAUUCCGGAAGGCAUGCCUGUUCGAGAGUCAUUAACAACCGUUUCGAUCCCUUUCUUUCAGAAAUUACAAAGAGGAAAAGGGUUUGGUUAUGGUGGAGGAGGGAAAGGGAGCGUUUAGCCUGUAAAAAAAGAGGCUGUGUUCCGCCUCCCCCCCAAAAUUGUACAGGCGGUCGUGUGCGCCCACGCAUCGAGGUGUUGUAAAAGCUGCCACGGCACUUUUAACCUGUGCAGUGCGAGAUUGGCCAGCCGGUUUAAAAACCCCUCCAAACAAUCAAAGGUUGACCUCGGAUCAGGUAGGGAUACCCGCUGAACUUAAGCAUAUCAAUAAGCGGAGGA
rnacentral:misc_RNA from 1 species